rnacentral:rRNA from 1 species
GAUGAACGCUGGCGGCGUGCCUAAUACAUGCAAGUCGAGCGAACAGACGAGGAGCUUGCUCCUUCGACGUUAGCGGCGGACGGGUGAGUAACACGUAGGUAACCUACCUAUAAGACUGGGAUAACUUCGGGAAACCGGAGCUAAUACCGGAUAAUAUUUCGAACCGCAUGGUUCGAUGGUGAAAGAUGGCUUUGCUAUCACUUAUAGAUGGACCUGCGCCGUAUUAGCUAGUUGGUAAGGUAAUGGCUUACCAAGGCAACGAUACGUAGCCGACCUGAGAGGGUGAUCGGCCACACUGGAACUGAGACACGGUCCAGACUCCUACGGGAGGCAGCAGUAGGGAAUCUUCCGCAAUGGGCGAAAGCCUGACGGAGCAACGCCGCGUGAGUGAUGAAGGUCUUCGGAUCGUAAAACUCUGUUAUUAGGGAAGAACAAACGUGUAAGUAACUGUGCACGUCUUGACGGUACCUAAUCAGAAAGCCACGGCUAACUACGUG